AAAAGAAGAUGGCGCUCCCUACAUGCCGAAAGCCAGCCUAUUUAUAGGCGGACCAACAGCACCACAAAUUAACGUAAUUAAAUAUCCAAAAAGAAAUUAUCCAAACUCCAAAUUAUAUUUACAAAAUGUCAUUUAAUCAAGGUCUAU